rnacentral:rRNA from 1 species
GAUGAACGCUGGCGGCGUGCCUAAUACAUGCAAGUCGAGCGAAUGGAUUAAGAGCUUGCUCUUAUGAAGUUAGCGGCGGACGGGUGAGUAACACGUGGGUAACCUGCCCAUAAGACUGGGAUAACUCCGGGAAACCGGGGCUAAUACCGGAUAACAUUUUGAACCGCAUGGAUCGAAAUUGAAAGGCGGCUUCGGCUGUCACUUAUGGAUGGACCCGCGUCGCAUUAGCUAGUUGGUGAGGUAACGGCUCACCAAGGCAACGAUGCGUAGCCGACCUGAGAGGGUGAACGGCCACGCUGGGACUGAGACACGGCCCAGACUCCUACGGGAGGUAGCAGUAGGGAAUCUUCCGCAAUGGACGAAAGUCUGACGGAGCAACGCCGCGUGAGUGAUGAAGGCUUUCGGGUCGUAAAACUCUGUUGUUAGGGAAGAACAAGUGCUAGUUGAAUAAGCUGGCACCUUGACGGUACCUAACCAGAAAGCCACGGCUAACUACGUGCCAGCAGCCGCAGUAA